rnacentral:rRNA from 1 species
AGAGUUUGAUCCUGGCUCAGGACGAACGCUGGCGGCGUGCUUAACACAUGCAAGUCGAACGGAAAGGUCUCUUCGGAGAUACUCGAGUGGCGAACGGGUGAGUAACACGUGGGUAAUCUGCCCUGCACUUCGGGAUAAGCCUGGGAAACUGGGUCUAAUACCGAAUAGGACCACUUGGCGCAUGCCUUGUGGUGGAAAGCUUUUGCGGUGUGGGAUGGGCCCGCGGCCUAUCAGCUUGUUGGUGGGGUGAUGGCCUACCAAGGCGACGACGGGUAGCCGGCCUGAGAGGGUGUCCGGCCACACUGGGACUGAGAUACGGCCCAGACUCCUACGGGAGGCAGCAGAAGGG